rnacentral:rRNA from 1 species
AUUGAACGCUGGCGGUAGGCCUAACACAUGCAAGUCGAACGGCAGCACAGGAGAGCUUGCUCUCUGGGUGGCGAGUGGCGGACGGGUGAGGAAUACAUCGGAAUCUACUUUUUCGUGGGGGAUAACGUAGGGAAACUUACGCUAAUACCGCAUACGACCUACGGGUGAAAGCAGGGGACCUUCGGGCCUUGCGCGAUUGAAUGAGCCGAUGUCGGAUUAGCUAGUUGGCGGGGUAAAGGCCCACCAAGGCGACGAUCCGUAGCUGGUCUGAGAGGAGGAUCGGCCACACUGGAACUGAGACACGGUCCAGACUCCUACGGGAGGCAGCAGUGGGGAAUAUUGGACAAUGGGCGCAAGCCUGAUCCAGCCAUACCGCGUGGGUGAAGAAGGCCUUCGGGUUGUAAAGCCCUUUUGUUGGGAAAGAAAUCCAGCUGGCUAAUACCCGGUUGGGAUGGCGGUACCCAAAGAAUAAGCACCGGCUAACUUCGUGCCAGCAGCCGCGGUAA